ACAAGGCGGGUGACUUUCAGGUCUCUUCUAAACACAUUUACAAGUGACUUGUUGGAUACAUCAUCUGCUGUUUUCACAAACCGAGCCUCCAUGAUAAAGGGACAGCUUGAACCUUUGUACCAAAGGGAAUUCCCCUCUUCCUUCAAUUCUUUGGACGUGGUGGCAUUCAGAAAUGGAUCAAUCAUUAACGAAGUGAUUCUUCGCUUCGGAAGCACAUCUGUUCCUAGUAAUACUCAGAUCUCGAGUGUUUUGAUGAGUGCAGCUUCAACUGUCACUGGCUUUGACA